AAUUCGCCCUUAGAGUUUGAUCAUGGCUCAGAGUGAACGCUGGCGGCGUGCUUAACACAUGCAAGUCGAACGAGAACGGCCCAUAGCUUGCUAUGGGUGUCAGCUAAGUGGCGCACGGGUGAGUAAUGUAUAGGUAACGUGCCCCUUGGAGGGGGAUAACGGCUGGAAACGGCCGCUAAUACCCCAUAUUCCUUGCAGACACAAGUUUGUAAGGGAAAUGGUGUAUUCCGCCAAGGGAUCGGCCUAUAUCGUAUCAGCUAGUUGGUGGGGUAACGGCCUACCAAGGCUAUGACGCGUAGCGGGUCUGAGAGGAUGAUCCGCCACACUGGAACUGAGACACGGUCCAGACUCCUACGGGAGGCAGCAGUGGGGAAUAUUGGGCAAUGGGCGCAAGCCUGACCCAGCAACGCCGCGUGGAGGAUGACGCCCUUCGGGGUGUAAACUCCUUUUAUCAGGGAAGAUGAUGACGGUAC
rnacentral:rRNA from 1 species